UGCAACAUGGGCCUCUAACAUGAAGAACAGACUGUGCACAUUGGAGGAGCUGAAUUAAUACAAGAUACUUUUUAUUAGAAGCACAUCUUCAUCUAGCAUUCCCCAUGGCUGCAAAGCAGGCCUGCUGCUGCUGCAAAGCUAAUGGAGACCUAGAAAAGGGAGCUGCUUUCAAUUUUGGCUUACCAGCACUGGCAUCAACUCAGCUGUCCCUGCAAAAUCUUCAUGACUGAUGAGGCAGAAAGCAGGAAAGGCACAGCUUUGGUUUUCAGACCACAGAUGAAGCUUCCAGAGAAUCAUUCAUCUGAUUUUCCAUGGCUUCUCCAGGCUUCUCUGGUGGUUGUAGAGGUCCAAACUCCACAGUGGUGCAGGUUUGUGUACAACAGAAACAAAACCAGCUCUCAGAUCACCCAUCCUUGCUCAUUUUCCCAGCCCACAUGCGCUUUCUUCCCUGCUCAAGUCAAGCUGAG
rnacentral:lncRNA from 1 species